UAAACAUACAGAGCCCUCUCUCUUUGUCUGAAGAUGUUAAUGUCGGCGCGGAGGAUUUUCACAAGGGCUGGGAGGUUCUUCCACUUUCAACUGCAAACGGAAAUGGGUAUCAUUCAAUCUCCAUCCUUAUUAUUUGCCAAUUACUUUCAUUCUUCUACUUCCAUGCAUGUUCCUAAAGAUGCAAAAUCUCAACGUUUCUUGAGAUCUAAGUUCAAUUCUUCUUCUUUUAGGGACGUUGAUGAUGCCUUAGCUUUCUUUAAUCAUAUCAUUCUUAUGCGUCCUCUGCCUUCUAUUGUUCAGUUUUGUCGAUUUUUAUCUGCCCUUGUGGGGAUGAAACAAUAUCACACGGUCAUCUCUUUGUGCAGAACAAUUGAGUCUCUAGGAAUCUCUCACAGUGUUUAUUCUCUUUCUAUAUUGAUUAACUGUUUCUGCCGAUUACACCUUGUGAAUUUUGGCUUCUCAAUUUUGGGGAAAUUUAUCAAAUUUGGAUUGGAGCCCAAUACUGUGACAUUUACUACCUUAAUUAAUGGGCUCUGCAUAGAUGGUAAAAUCAAUGGAGCAGUAGAUUUUUUCAAUGAUAUGGUUACUGGAGGAUAUCAACCUAAUGUUCAUACCUACAAUGUGAUAGUAAAUGCUCUCUGUAAAUGUGGGAAAACAAAUGUGGCUAUUAAGUUGCUAAAGGGAAUGGGUGAGAGAGGUUGUGAGCCAGAUGUUGUGACAUACAAUGCAAUUAUGGACGCCCUUUGCAAGGAUAAGCUAAUUAUUGAGGCUUUAAACCUCUUCUCCCAAAUGAGGAAUAGAGGCAUUUCACCUAGUGUCAUCACUUACAAUUGCUUAAUUCAAGGUAUUUGCAAUUUGGGCAAAUGGAAUCAAGCUUUGGCCUUGUUGAAAGAAAUGGCGGGGCAAAACAUAUCACCAAACAUUAUUACCUUCAGUAUAUUGAUUGACAAUCUUUGCAAGGAAGGACUGGUUUCAAAAGCUCAAGAAAUAAUGAAAAUAAUGAUCCAACAAGGGGUGAAGCCUGAUGUUGUCACUUACAGUUCUUUGAUGGACGGAUUUUGUCUGUGUAACCAAAUGGAUGAAGCUACAAAAUUAUUUGAUCAUAUGGUAAGCAGUGGCAUAGCUGAUGUCUUUAGCUACAACAUCUUGAUUAAUGGAUACUGCAAGAGCAAAAGGAUAGAUGAAGCAACAAAACUUUUGGAUGAAAUGAUUAAAACUAGUUUAGUUCCCAACUUUGUUACUUAUACUACUCUUAUUAAGGGAUUGUGGGAAGCAGGGCAACCUGGAAUUGCACUAGAAGUUUUCAAGAACAUGUGUUCUCAUGGUCAGCAGCCAGAUAAAGUGACUUUUUCAAUCAUUCUUGAUGGCUUGUGCAAACAAGGGUAUCUUGAUGAGGCACUCACACUAUUUAAAGCGAUGGAAAAAAGUCGGUUGAAGGUUAAUUGUGUGAGCUAUAACAUUUUGAUUAAUGGUAUGUGUAGAGCUGGGAGGCUUACUGAUGCCAAGGAAUUGUUUUCUAGGCUUUUUGAAAAAGGUUUACAACCUGAUGUUUAUACAUAUAGUAUAAUAAUAAAAGGACUUUGCAAUGAAGGUUUACUAGAUGAAGCAUACAAAGUCUUUAGAGGAAUGGAAGAGUGUGGAUGUUUACCGGAUGGUUGCUGUUAUAAUGUGAUUAUUCAAGGGUUUCUCAGGCAUAAAGAUAUACCAGAGGCAACACUACUUAUUGAUGAAAUGGUUGAUAAAGGAUUCUCUGCAGAUGCCACCACCUUUGAAUUGGUAACACAUUUAUUGCGCAAUGACAAUCUCAUUCUGACAAAACUACGAAAUCGUUCCAAAUGUCAUAAAGGUGCAAAUUUUAAGUGAUAUUUUAACAAUCAAGACUUGCUCAACAGAUGGACGAGGUAUUUGUCAUGUUAUGAGUUAUUGGUCCUUUUUUAUUUAGAAAGUAUAAUUAUAUUUGGAAUUCCCUAGCAAGUUGUUCUAUGCUUAAUUCUCUGUGCAUUCACCAAUUUGUCGCCCUUCUUCUAUAUAGGAAAUCAGUGCAAUCAGUGCAUGUGGUGGUUUUUAUCUUGCCAUCAUUGUGUGAUUCCAUAAUCAUAAUUCAUAAUAUGCCUAUUCCCUAAUUUGCAACUUUCUGCAUUAUUUUCGGCAUGAUGAUGCAACUGCAAAAAGUAGAAUAUAGUUUGACAGAAAGAAGGAUAGCUAAAACAUCAAAAGAAUGUUAUGUGUCCAUAGUUAGAUUUAAAGGGUGGAAAAAAAAAAAGUAGUAAGCUUAAGACUGUUAGAUGGUUGAAGUAGAGCACAAAAAUUUCCCUCAUUGGAUUUUGCUUACUGUUGCAAGAAAGUGAACCUUCCAGAAAAUGUCAGAAUAGAUUAUGCAUAGAAUUUGGGUAGCAGAUACUUGCAUUAUAGGUGUUUGUGAUAUAUGUCGAAAUGGUUGCUACAUAAUGUAAUGACAUUUUUUGAUGUAAUAGUAGCUUAAUUUGUAUUUCUAUUUUAUGUGUUUAGCCAUUUGUGUCCUGCAUAUUGACAUUUUUUUUUAUGAGUAGGUUGGAAAUGCCAAGCUUUUUAUUGUUAUUGUGCUGAAUUUGCUCACAUGUUAUUUUUCUUGGCAGGGCCUGUGAACAUAUUGUUCUUCUUCAUUAGAGAGACAUCAUGAGCUUGGUAAAAGAGUUUCCUAUUCUGUUCUGUGGCCUCCUAGCACUUGUGCAGGAUCUAGCUGUUCUGCUCCAGGUACAAGUCCUUGUUCUACCAUUCAAGAACAAGGAACUGCCUUUGAUUUUACAUCUGAUGAUGGUAUAAAUUUUUGAAAAGUCUGGUCCACUUGGGGUGGAAGAGGGUUUAAGGGGCUAAUGGUCAGCAAGAGAAGCGUAGUUUUCUAGGCGUCUGAAUUUGAGAGCUGAAUAUGUUUAGGCAUCCUGAAAUAGGAAGCACUGAUGGAAAAUCUGAAAGCUCUUCUCGUUGAUGGCUCUCUUCUCGGACUGGCCGUUCCUGGCAUGGAAGCUGAUGAAUGCACGAAAUGACCCGAUCUUUAAUGAUAAACAAUGGAAAACACUAGAAGUAUGAAUUAAUCAGUACUCUGAAGCCGAGAAUUGCUUCACCAAUCCAUGAUUAAUGCAGUAAUCUCUAGUAUUAAGAUAAUUCCAAUCUGGACUCACUAGCUGUUGGUUUCAUUAUGAUAAGCUUUGAAAUUCUUACCGUUAGAAGAAGUUGCUAAUAUGCUUAUGAGUCUGUCAUCAAAGAUCUGUUGUUUUUGUCAAUAGAGAAGGAAAUUGGCCAGUUCACAUUUCAAAUUCUAAAUGUUUUGUAGUUUCUUUUAAAUUUUCUCAAGUUGUGAUCAAUAUUCAAGAGAUGAUAUAUAGUAUUGAUGGCAUAUGAAGAUUUCCCUUC